rnacentral:rRNA from 1 species
CCUACGGGCGGCAGCAGUGGGGAAUAUUGGACAAUGGGGGGAACCCUGAUCCAGCCAUGCCGCGUGUGUGAAGAAGGCCCUCGGGUUGUAAAGCACUUUCAGUGAGGAAGAACGCCUGGUGGUUAAUACCCAUCAGGAAAGACAUCACUCACAGAAGAAGCACCGGCUAACUCCGUGCCAGCAGCCGCGGUAAUACGGAGGGUGCGAGCGUUAAUCGGAAUUACUGGGCGUAAAGCGCGCGUAGGUGGCUUGAUAAGCCGGUUGUGAAAGCCCCGGGCUCAACCUGGGAACGGCAUCCGGAACUGUCAAGUUAGAGUGCAGGAGAGGAAGGUAGAAUUCCCGGUGUAGCGGUGAAAUGCGUAGAGAUCGGGAGGAAUACCAGUGGCGAAGGCGGCCUUCUGGACUGACACUGACACUGAGGUGCGAAAGCGUGGGUAGCAAACAGGAUUAGAUACCCUUGUAGUC